AGAGUUUGAUCAUGGCUCAGAUUGAACGCUGGCGGCAGGCCUAACACAUGCAAGUCGAGCGGUAGCACAGAGAGCUUGCUCUCGGGUGACGAGCGGCGGACGGGUGAGUAAUGUCUGGGAAACUGCCUGAUGGAGGGGGAUAACUACUGGAAACGGUAGCUAAUACCGCAUAAUGUCGCAAGACCAAAGUGGGGGACCUUCGGGCCUCAUGCCAUCAGAUGUGCCCAGAUGGGAUUAGCUAGUAGGUGGGGUAACGGCUCACCUAGGCGACGAUCCCUAGCUGGUCUGAGAGGAUGACCAGCCACACUGGAACUGAGACACGGUCCAGACUCCUACGGGAGGCAGCAGUGGGGAAUAUUGCACAAUGGGCGCAAGCCUGAUGCAGCCAUGCCGCGUGUAUGAAGAAGGCCUUCGGGUUGUAAAGUACUUUCAGCGGGGAGGAAGGCGAUAAGGUUAAUAACCUUGUCGAUUGACGUUACCCGCAGAAGAAGCACCGGCUAACUCCGUGCCAGCAGCCGCGGUAAUACGGAGGGUGCAAGCGUUAAUCGGAAUUACUGGGCGUAAAGCGCACGCAGGCGGUCUGUCAAGUCGGAUGUGAAAUCCCCGGGCUCAACCUGGGAACUGCAUUCGAAACUGGCAGGCUAGAGUCUUGUAGAGGGGGGUAGAAUUCCAGGUGUAGCGGUGAAAUGCGUAGAGAUCUGGAGGAAUACCGGUGGCGAAGGCGGCCCCCUGGACAAAGACUGACGCUCAGGUGCGAAAGCGUGGGGAGCAAACAGGAUUAGAUACCCUGGUAGUCCACGCCGUAAACGAUGUCGAUUUGGAGGUUGUGCCCUUGAGGCGUGGCUUCCGGAGCUAACGCGUUAAAUCGACCGCCUGGGGAGUACGGCCGCAAGGUUAAAACUCAAAUGAAUUGACGGGGGCCCGCACAAGCGGUGGAGCAUGUGGUUUAAUUCGAUGCAACGCGAAGAACCUUACCUGGUCUUGACAUCCACAGAACUUAGCAGAGAUGCUUUGGUGCCUUCGGGAACUGUGAGACAGGUGCUGCAUGGCUGUCGUCAGCUCGUGUUGUGAAAUGUUGGGUUAAGUCCCGCAACGAGCGCAACCCUUAUCCUUUGUUGCCAGCGGUUCGGCCGGGAACUCAAAGGAGACUGCCAGUGAUAAACUGGAGGAAGGUGGGGAUGACGUCAAGUCAUCAUGGCCCUUACGACCAGGGCUACACACGUGCUACAAUGGCGCAUACAAAGAGAAGCGACCUCGCGAGAGCAAGCGGACCUCAUAAAGUGCGUCGUAGUCCGGAUUGGAGUCUGCAACUCGACUCCAUGAAGUCGGAAUCGCUAGUAAUCGUAGAUCAGAAUGCUACGGUGAAUACGUUCCCGGGCCUUGUACACACCGCCCGUCACACCAUGGGAGUGGGUUGCAAAAGAAGUAGGUAGCUUAACCUUCGGGAGGGCGCUUACCACUUUGUGAUUCAUGACUGGGGUGAAGUCGUAACAAGGUAACCGUAGGGGAACCUGCGGUUGGAUCACCU
rnacentral:rRNA from 1 species